CAGUCGCCGCGGGAAUACGUAGGGUGCAAGCGUUAAUCGGAAUUACUGGGCGUAAAGCGUGCGCAGGCGGUUUGUUAAGACAGAUGUGAAAUCCCCGGGCUCAACCUGGGAACUGCAUUUGUGACUGGCAAGCUAGAGUCUGGCAGAGGGGGAUGGAAUUCCGCGUGUAGCAGUGAAAUGCGUAGAUAUGCGGAGGAACACCGAUGGCGAAGGCAAUCCCCUGGGCCUGUACUGACGCUCAUGCACGAAAGCGUGGGGAGCAAACAGGAUUAGAUACCCGGGUAGUCCCUGUCUCUUAUAC
rnacentral:rRNA from 1 species